AAUGAACGCUAGUAGUAUGCUUAACACAUGCAAGUCGAACGAAAGUUUUACACUUUCGUGGCGUACGGGUGAGUAAAUGCAGAAUUCUUCCUUCCAGUUCAGUACAAAAUUGCUUCUAGUAAUAAAAUUCUGAAUAUUUUAAAGGUUUAAUUUCCGCUGAAGAUGAAUCUGCUUAAGAUUAGGUUGUUGGUAAUUUAAAAGCUUACCAAGCCGAUGAUCUUUAGUUGGUCUGAGAGGAUGAUCAACCACACUGGAACUGAAACAAGGUCCAGGCUAAUUCGUUGGCCAGCAGUGAGGAAUAUUGGAGUCAAUGAACGAAAGUUUGAUCCAGC
rnacentral:rRNA from 1 species